AGAACGAACGCUGGCGGCAUGCCUAAUACAUGCAAGUCGAACGAACUCUUCGGAGUUAGUGGCGCACGGGUGCGUAACGCGUGGGAAUCUGCCCCUUGGUUCGGAAUAACAGUUGGAAACGACUGCUAAUACCGGAUGAUGACGAAAGUCCAAAGAUUUAUCGCCAAGGGAUGAGCCCGCGUAGGAUUAGCUAGUUGGUGAGGUAAAGGCUCACCAAGGCAACGAUCCUUAGCUGGUCUGAGAGGAUGAUCAGCCACACUGGGACUGAGACACGGCCCAGACUCCUACGGGAGGCAGCAGUAGGGAAUAUUGGACAAUGGGCGAAAGCCUGAUCCAGCAAUGCCGCGUGAGUGAUGAAGGCCUUAGGUUGUAAAGCUCUUUUACCCGAGAUGAUAAUGACAGUAUCGGAGAAUAAGCCCCGGCUAACUCCGUGUCAGCAGCCGC
rnacentral:rRNA from 1 species